GAUGAAGAACGUAGCGAAAUGCGAUACGUAAUGUGAAUUGCAAAUUCAGUGAAUCAUCGAGUCUUUGAACGCACAUUGCGCCCCCCAGUAUUCUGGCGGGCAUGCCUGUUCGAGCGUCAUUUCAACCAUCAAGCCCUGCUUGUGUUGGGGUCCUGCGGCUGCCCGCAGGCCCUGAAAACCAGUGGCGGGCUCGCUAGUCACACCGAGCGCAGUAGCACAUCUCGCUCAGGGCGUGCGGCGGGCUCCAGCCGUUAAAGCACCCACCUUUCGCAAGGUUGACCUCGGAUCAGGUAGGAAUACCCGCUGAACUUAAGCAUAUCAAUAAGCGGAGGA
rnacentral:misc_RNA from 1 species